rnacentral:rRNA from 1 species
UACGUAGGAUGCGAGCGUUGUCCGGAAUUAUUGGGCGUAAAGAGAACGUAGGUGGUUUCUUAAGUUCGAUCUUAAAGACCGGGGCUCAACCCCGGGAAUGGAUUGAAAACUGGGAGACUAGAGGAUGUUAGAGGACGGUGGAAUUCCAAGUGUAGCGGUGAAAUGCGCAGAUAUCAGGAGGAACACCGAUGGCGAAGGCAGGUCUCUGGGCAUUAACUGACGCUGAGGAGCGAAAGCAUGGGGAGCGAACAGG